GAUGAACGCUGGCGGCGUGCCUAACACAUGCAAGUCGAACGAGAAAGGGUAGCAAUACCUGAGUAAAGUGGCGCACGGGUGAGUAACACGUGACUAACCUACCCUGGAGUGGGGGAUAACUGAGGGGAACCUUAGCUAAUACCGCAUAAUACCUACGGGUCAAAGGAGCAAUUCGCUUCAGGAGGGGGUCGCGGCCGAUUAGUUAGUUGGCGGGGUAAUGGCCCACCAAGACAGUGAUCGGUAUCCGGCCUGAGAGGGCGCACGGACACACUGGAACUGAAACACGGUCCAGGCUCCUACGGGAGGCAGCAGUGGGGAAUUUUGCGCAAUGGGGGAAACCCUGACGCAGCAACGCCGCGUGGAGGAUGAAGUCCUUCGGGACGUAAACUCC
rnacentral:rRNA from 1 species